rnacentral:lncRNA from 1 species
AUAACGUCAACAAAUCUUUGAGGAUGUAACAAAGGCCAAAUAGGAAUGUUCUCAUCGUCUUCACCACCAUCUACUAAAUCAAUAGUAUCGAAUCGCUCAAAAGGGUUUUUGACGGUGGUGUUUGUAGUCGUGAAAUUCUGAUAAGGAUUGGGGUAAGGAGCGAUGUCAUUUUGAUCCUCAGAAAGUUUUUCAAAUACUUUAUGAAUAAUAUCAUAGAGAGUACUAUUUGACGUUACUUCCUGACUCCAUUCUAACAGAAACGUGUUGAACAAUGUAGCUGAAGUACCCAUAACAAAACCGGCAUUAUCAUAGUUACGAAUGCACUUAUGGUCUGGUGGAACACCAUUCUUUAAAUGGGUACCGACGUAUUCCAUAGGGAGAAAAGCUUUAAUACCAUUGUCCCAAGUACCAAACUCGUAUGGAGUAAAUUCGAAUAUACUGGUGUUGGCAGGGAUAGCUUUUUCCUCUUCCAAACGACUGUCAGAUAUAAUGAUGGGAUAAGGAUAGUCGGCAUUUUGGAACCAAGUUUGGUUUCUAAUGCUAGAAAAUGUGAUAUUUGGACCACCUUGGGUAGCAUCGACAAGCUUACGAGAUAAAGCGCGUCCCCAAAGAUCGGUCAAAGAAGUAUCGAAUCCUGCAUCUUUCUUUUGAUCAAUCUCAUCAUCCAGGUCGUCAUAAUAAGCAAGAUUUUCGACAACAUUGUCACCAUGAGGAGCAAAGACACUAUGUUCCAAAUUCCAAACGUUGUCACGUAGAUAAGUAAUAUUGGCAAAGUUAUUAACAGCUACGGAACCGACCAGCCAUGAACCACCAGAAAGACCAGCGAUAUACAUGGCGGAUUGAAGAAUUCCAGCAAGUGAAGAACCAUUGCCAUUUCGAGAAUCGAAAGCAUUUAAAACACCUCCUCCGUGGACCAUAGCGCGGAGUCCACCGCCAGAAAAUGCAAGUCCUAAACGAGGGCCAUCUGAAUCAUUAAUCACAGAGUUUACAUCUACGUCCAAACCAGUGUUGGAAAUAAAGGACCUCAUUUGUGUAUUGAUUUUGGGGAUACGUUUAUCAAUGAAACUUUGCUCGCCUGAACUUAUUCCGUCAGAAGCAGGUCGUAGCAUAUAGUCACUAGGACAAGUUACAUUAUAAGGCGCGUAUGAUCCAACACUGUCGCGCUUGGAAAGCGAAAUCGCCAAAGCCUCUCGUUUUUGCAUUAAUGAAAGAGGCGUGUCAUGCAUGCCCGGUCUCAUUAAGUCAGAUUCCCCAAACUCAUACGGAUCCGACAUUUGCUCGCGACAAGGCGGGUACGCCAAGGCCGGCAGGAUCUGGAGCAGAGCGAGUAUUCCAAAACAAUUAAAUAACAUUGUCUUUUUUUUUUAUAGUUAAACCGUCUUUAGGUCAAUAAAUUUGGGAAAUUAUGCCAAAAUCUACACACCGCUUUGCUUGAACUCAGAGAUUAGAAGGCCGUUACAAAAACGCGCUCAAAACAAACGAUGGAAUCAACGACUGUCUCUCUAGACCCACAAAAGUUUAGAAAAUUGACUAUACCCUCAAACAAUUUUCUUGUGAACGAAAACAACACAACAACGGAAUAUUUGUAAACGGAUGGUGAAACAAAUUAAACCAAAAGCGCCCUACUACGUAAAAAUUUUAAAACUCCUUAUAGCUGAAAUUCACCCGUAUUCCAACGCAGCUCUUACUGUAU